UACAGAGGUCUCAAGCGUUGUUCGGAUUCAUUGGGCGUAAAGCGCGCGCAGGCGGUCCUUUAAGUCUGAUGUGAAAGCCCACGGCUCAACCGUGGAGGGUCAUUGGAAACUGGGGGACUUGAGUGCAGGAGAGAAAAGUGGAAUUCCACGUGUAGCGGUGAAAUGCGUAGAGAUGUGGAGGAACACCAGUGGCGAAGGCGACUUUUUGGCCUGUAACUGACGCUGAGGCGCGAAAGCGUGGGGAGCAAACAGG
rnacentral:rRNA from 1 species